UUUUGUCUUCUCCGUAGCUUAAUUCCCUCUGCAACAGUGGUUCUAAUAAUGACUAAUCCUCAGCUACUUUUUUCUCAGCUGAAGGCAGGUCGAUGUAUCUAGACGGUUGAGACAUGAGUUUUACGUUUUUGAAAGGCACGAAAUAUCAAAAAAGGAGGCUAGCGAUGGGAGUCGACAUGAUUUUAUGAAAAGGUACUUUGUAACCCAUGAGAUUGCCGCUAGAUUUAGUUUAUUUUUUUAGUAUUCAAACAAUACAAACAUCCUCACAUGUGGUUGCUUCUUCUUACGCCGUCUACACUGAUUCAGGCUUCCGUUGCGUUCAUCUCUCCGAAAAGUUGCGAUUUAUGAGACUGUGAUUGCUCUUUUAUCAUUUGUUUUGUACGGAUCAAUAUAUAUCUGAAACCAAGCCUCUGAAUUAUGUGGCUGGAUCAAGGAUGAUUUUGUGGCUGAAGGAUUGAAAACAGUCAAGAAUAGGGCUCAAGUCGUCAAAGCUUUGGUACGGAGAGGUAUCAUUUGCUUAAGAAACUAAUUUGAGAUCCUCUUGAUCGAUAAAAGGGCACAUGAUCAUAUUCUUUACGUACGCUCUGUCAACGAUAAUGAUUUGGUUUGUAGACAUGUAUUAAUCAUUUGUAGCUCUUUCUCUUUUUAUAUCUCAUUUCUAAUCUAUAUUUGAUGCAAGAAAUUCAAAGGCUACUUAAGUGGGGAUAUCUGCUAAUAAUAUUUCUACUCAGAUCUCAACUUGGUGGUCGUCUGCAUUAUUUGAAUUUCUUUAUCCAUUCAUUACAGAAAUAUGUUCGAAUUCUCGGACAUGGGACUUCUCUUUGUUUUUCACUAAAACAAAUAUGUAUGGAUGCUUACAAGAACUCAUUUUUGCUGUCGCAGCUACUUCUCCAUACUGAGUCUGAUGAUUCUUCUCAGUAUCCCAGAUUGACCUCUCAGCUUUCCUUGCUAUCAACUUUGAGUCAAGCUGGUGAAUUGACUCUUCAGUCACUUUGCAAAAAAAAACCCGAGAAAUCGAGGUUCACGUGUGAGUAGACUCAGUGGGGAUCACAAAAGGGAUAUAUCCUCAAAGGUUGUUGGGCUCUUGCCUGAGAUGAACACCCUAUGGAUUUACUAGAUCAACGUUUCGGGGUCUUGCAGUGUUCCUGCAGCAUAACCGUGACGUAUCAAGACAUGACAUGCGCCACGUGGUGGAAGGAUGGCCGAUAGGUUCUGGACCAAAACAAGACUCUUAAACAAGGAGGCGCUAAAUAACUGGGCAAAUGACAAAGAUAUAGCGUUGUCACAGCUGGAAUUUACAAGAAAAAGAGCUUGCCGACUUUGUAUGUUGAUGCAAACCGGGUUGGGAGCGUUGGCUAGACGAUUUCCUUUGAACGAUUUGAAUACCCGUCAGUGUAGACAUACUAUCGUCAUAUGGCUUCUUCGUUUCUAGGAAGAGAACAAGAAGUUACUCCGUGGCAUCAUCUCUGUGAAGAUGCGGAUGUGCAUUGCAAAAUUUAAGGAAUAACAAGCCAGUAAGUAGCUGCCACGCCAAUAACCUUGAGAAUUGUUUUUUUUUUUCUUUUUUUUUUUUUUUUUUUUUAA